UUAGUGCUUGAUCCAAAGCCCAUUGCACUCAAUGGGAGUAUUUCCAUUGAUUUCAAUGGGAUUUGGAUCAAACUUUAA
rnacentral:pre_miRNA from 1 species